AUCAGCACUGCCCGUUCCGCAACUUGGAAAGUUGAUCGUCAGUAGCUCUUCCGGUUCCAUGGCCAUCCAUCUGAUCACCGAUGCCACUUCUCUACGCCUUGGCCACUGUCUUAUCAGUUCCUCCUUCCAGAAAUUGAAGGAUUUUUGGUGGGAAAGAGUCCUUUCCUUCAACGGAUUGAGUUUCUUCAGUUAUCAAAAGAUGCCUUUCAUCCACAUGUUUCAUCUUCUUUCCAGUUUUCUGAUGGAAGCAAAGGUAGAACUGAUGGCACGUCAUCUCCUGAAAGACCCAGAAAGAAAUCCUCCGAUGGUAGACGUAUGACAAACGCGGUUAUUGCUGUCAAUAUCUUAGUAUAUGCUGGACAACUUGCAACUUGGGGGAAACUGCUCUUGGGGAGCUCAGAUGAAUCAUCUCAUCAACAAGGGACAAUGGUGGAGGCUGGCCACAUCAAAUUUCUUAUAUGCGAAUGUCGCACACCUCGUGCUUAAUUGCUGUUGUCUAGAUGCCCUUGGUCCCAAUGUGGAAGCACUCAGUGGCCCCGAAAGAUUUCCAAUGGUUUACGCCACCUCAGCAAUUGCAAGUUCAGCAACGAGUUAUUGGUUGACCAAAGCACCUUCUAUAGGGGCUUCGAGCAAAUUUAGGAUUGGUGAGUCCUCUUGAAAUGUCAUCCAGCACAGUUCGAACCUGCCUUCAUAGACAAAACCGUGAGCCUGCUUUAUAGGAAAAAUUGCUUUGAAGGCUAAUAAUCGUGUAACGGAAAUCUACUUGGAGACUAGCAUUUUCCUUUUCUUCCUCUUGCCUUUCUUCCGGUCAUUGUUAUGCAUCCGGUGCUUUAUUUAGGUUGGUUACAUGGCUGUGUACAUCAUGAGGCAUAGAGGCCUGACCAGAGAUGCCAAUGAAGAUCUGAAGUACAUAGCACGAAUAAUUAUCAUUAACUUCUUCAUUCGGUCCUCGGUUAAAGGUAUCGACUACUGGAGACAUUUAGGAGGAUUUCUUGGCGGCGGGUCGCAUCUUGGCUUCUCGAUCCUGCUGGGAAGCUCGAGCGUAGGUCUAGCGACGGUCGAGAUAUCAUCAACAACAUCAAAGGGAGG